AAGUCGAACGAGACCUUCGGGUCUAGUGGCGCACGGGUGCGUAACGCGUGGGAAUCUGCCCUUGGGUUCGGAAUAACAGUUGGAAACGACUGCUAAUACCGGAUGAUGACGUAAGUCCAAAGAUUUAUCGCCCAGGGAUGAGCCCGCGUAGGAUUAGCUAGUUGGUGGGGUAAAGGCCUACCAAGGCGACGAUCCUUAGCUGGUCUGAGAGGAUGAUCAGCCACACUGGGACUGAGACACGGCCCAGACUCCUACGGGAGGCAGCAGUGGGGAAUAUUGGACAAUGGGCGAAAGCCUGAUCCAGCAAUGCCGCGUGAGUGAUGAAGGCCUUAGGGUUGUAAAGCUCUUUUACCCGGGAUGAUAAUGACAGUACCGGGAGAAUAAGCCCCGGCUAACUCCGUGCC
rnacentral:rRNA from 1 species